CGGAAUCUGCCUUUUUGUGGGGGAUAACGUAGGGAAACUUACGCUAAUACCGCAUACGACCUACGGGUGAAAGCGGAGGACCUUAGGGCUUCGCGCAGAAAGAUGAGCCGACGUCGGAUUAGCUAGUUGGAGGGGUAAUGGCCCACCAAGGCGACGAUCCGUAGCUGGUCUGAGAGGAUGAUCAGCCACACUGGGACUGAGACACGGCCCAGACUCCUACGGGAGGCAGCAGUGGGGAAUAUUGGACAAUGGGCGCAAGCCUGAUCCAGCCAUGCCGCGUGUGUGAAGAAGGCCUUCGGGUUGUAAAGCACUUUUGUACGGGAAGAAAAGCAAUCGGUUAAUACCCGGUUGUCAUGACGGUACCGUAAGAAUAAGCACCGGCUAACUUCGUGCCAGCAGCCGCGGUAAUACGAAGGGUGCAAGCGUUACUCGGAAUUACUGGGCGUAAAGCGUGCGUAGGUGGUUUGUUAAGUCUGAUGUGAAAGCCCCGGGCUCAACCUGGGAAUGGCAUUGGAUACUGGCAGUCUAGAGUGUGGGAGAGGGUAGCGGAAUUCCUGGUGUAGCGGUGAAAUGCGCAGAUAUCAGGAGGAACACCGGUGGCGAAGGCGGGUCUCUGGGUAGUAACUGACGCUGAGGAGCGAAAGCAUGGGUAGCGAACAGGAUUAGAUACCCUGGUAGAAUCACUAGUGAAUUC
rnacentral:rRNA from 1 species